rnacentral:rRNA from 1 species
UACGAAGGGGGGCUAGCGUUGUUCGGAAUUACUGGGCGUAAAGGGCGCGUAGGCGGCUUGUCACGUCGGGUGUGAAAGCCCGGGGCUUAACCCCGGGUCUGCAUUCGAUACGGGCUGGCUAGAGUGUGGUAGGGGAGAUCGGAAUCCUGGUGUAGCGGUGAAAUGCGCAGAUAUCAGGAGGAACACCGGUGGCGAAGGCGGGUCUCUGGGCCGAUACUGACGCUGAGGAGCGAAAGCGUGGGGAGCGAACAGG